rnacentral:tRNA from 2 species
GGUCGAGUGGUGGAAUUGGCAGACACGCAUGAUUAAGGGUCAUGUGCCGCAAGGCGUGAGGGUUCAAGUCCCUCCUCGACCACCA